rnacentral:rRNA from 1 species
UACGAAGGGUGCAAACGUUGCUCGGAAUUAUUGGGCGUAAAGCGCACGUAGGCGGUAUCGCAAGUCCCAUGUGAAAGCCCACGGCUUAACCGUGGAAGUGCAUGGGAAACUGCAGUACUUGAGUACUUAAGAGGAUCGCGGAAUUCCCGGUGUAGAGGUGAAAUUCGUAGAUAUCGGGAGGAACACCAGUGGCGAAAGCGGCUUCCUGGUCCAGCACCGACGUUCAGGCACGAAAGCGUGGGGAGCAAACAGG